GUGCCAGCAGCCGCGGUAAAACCAGCACCUCAAGUGGUCAGGAUGAUUAUUGGGCCUAAAGCAUCCGUAGCCGGCUUUGUUAGUUUUCGGUUAAAUCUAUAUGCUCAACAUAUAGGCCGCCGGGAAUACUACAAAGCUAGGGAGUGGGAGAGGUAGACGGUACUCGAUAGGAAGGGGUAAAAUCCUUUGAUCCAUUGAUGACCACCAGUGGCGAAGGCGGUCUACCAGAACACGUCCGACGGUGAGGGAUGAAAGCUGGGGGAGCAAACCGGAUUAGAUACCCGGGUAGUCCCAGCUGUAAACUAUGCAAACUCAGUGAUGCAUUGGCUUGUGGCCAGUGCAGUGCCGCAGAGAAGUCGUUAAGUUUGCCGCCUGGGAAGUACGUACGCAAGUAUGAAACUUAAAGGAAUUGGCGGGGGAGCACCACAAGGGGUGAAGCCUGUGGUUCAAUUGGAGUCAACGCCAGAAAUCUUACCCGGAGAGACAGCAGAAUGAAGGUCAAGCUGAAGACUUUACCAGACAAGCUGAGAAGUGGUGCAUGGCCGUCGCCAGCUCGUGCCGUGAGAUGUCCUGUUAAGUCAGGUAACGAGCGAGAUCCCUGCCUCUAGUUGCCACCAUUACUCUCAGGAGUAGUGGGGCGAAUUAGCGGGACUGCCGCAGUUAAUGCGGAGGAAGGAGGGGGCCACGGCAGGUCAGUAUGCCCUGAAACUCUGGGGCCACACGCGGGCUGCAAUGGUAGUUACAGUGAGUUCCGAAUCCGAAAGGAGGAGGUAAUCUUCAAAUGCUACCACAGUUAUGAUUGAGGGCUGCAACUCGCCCUCAUGAAUAUGGAAUCCCUAGUAACUGCGUGUCAUUACCGCGCGGUGAAUACGUCCCUGCUCCUUGCACACACCGCCCGUC
rnacentral:rRNA from 1 species